rnacentral:misc_RNA from 1 species
UGAAAACAAACAUUUUGCGAUUUAUUUACUUUAUACAAAAACCGUUGUUACUUUAAAUACAUAGCUGUGAUCUGAUGUGGUAUCCAAGAUGCCGUGCAAUCCGCCGAAGACCAAUGCGGACAAGAUGUGGCCGUACGAAGAGUACUACACAGGAGAGAGGGAUGAGGAGAACAGGAAGAAUGGGCAGGGAAUGCACAACUGGACUGGGGCUGAGUCUCUAGAAUCGUACAAAGGUUGUAUGCUCCGGGAUACGAUGCACGGCGCCGGUGAUUACCGCUGGCGGUACUUAGGACCUGAACAUUCCGCCUUUACCUACGAGGGCAGAUUCUACAACAAUGCCUUGCAUGGGUAUGGCCUGAUGUCAUACCCAGAUGGACGGGUUUUUAAUGGUUUAUGGCAACAUAAUAUCCGCUGGGGUCCCGGAGUUGAGACUCACGCGUGUCUGCGAGAAGACGUGGGUCUCUGGUACGGGUACCAGCUCAUCAGACUAGCCUGGCAACCGGCGGUGCCCAGUGUGGCCAUCGACUUGGUGUCCAACCCAGUCGGUGCCACCGUGGUAGCACCGAAUCGAAUACUGCUGUCUACGAACACGAGGAUUAUCGGUGAAGUAAACUCGGCAAUAGAACUUCUGAAACAAUAUGGGGCGAAACCGUUGGCGGCCGCAGAGAAGUGGAAGAAGUUGUACCCUAAGAACUGCACCGAUACUUCCAGCCAGCUGUGCCAUGUGGAGGCAUUUGAUCGCGCUUACUAUGAUAACCAGAUCGAAACGCUGGUUGAAGUCGCUCCGGAAGAAAUUGAAGUUAAAGAGAAGGACGGAAGUUCCGCUAGUAAAGAUAGUGCCACGGAAACUAAGACGUAUUAUUACGCUUGGAAUAACAACAAGACUUUGAUCCAUAUGAUGAAGCACUGCUUUACGCAUGAGUUUCAGAGGAUGGACUCUCGAGUCAGCCUCAAAAAUAUACUGUCUGGCCCCAGAAAGGCUUUUAAGCCGGCUGGCAAGCACGAAUUGGAUUGUAGGACAAUACUAAUGGCGGCGUAUUUGGGACAUAUCGCGAACGUUGCCCAGCUUAUAAAUGAAAGUGACGUCAUGUCUGAUGUUUCUGAUUUACAGGGAAACUCUGUUAUCAUGUAUGCAGCUUGUGGGGAUCAACCAGAUAUUAUACAGUUCCUAGUGGAAGCUGGAGCAGAUGUCGACGCGUACAAUGACGCGUGCUGCACACCACUUGGUAUCGCCCUGUUGAGGUACACUUUGGAGAAGCAAGGCAUACCAUACAAUGCGAUGUUACAAGCUAUACUACCACCACCGCCUGCAGGACCUCUUUCACCAAAAGAAUCAAUUCAGGAAUGGCAUAUAAACCGUGACUUACAACCAGCUACAGACAGUUUACAAAAGUCCCCCAGCAAACAAAAUAACAAGCCUCCUCUAGGAAGAAAACCUUCAGUGAAAGACAUACCGACUGCUGGAGGUAAAAAAAAACCAGACACGUCACCAAAACUUGAAGUGCAAAAACUGUCCGAAUCUGAUACGAAAACGGACACAGUCGAAGAUAAGCGAGUUUAUGAUAGUAUUAAUACUGAAUACUUGAUACAAGUUGCCGAAGCAUUUUCAGUAAUCAGUGAGGUUAGCCCGAUACCGUACAUUUUUGAAGUGCACGACAUGAGUAGAGACGUGCUUUUGUUAACUGAGGAGGACCAGAAGAAGCAGCCAGAGAAGAAUACAAAGAAAAAUUCGUCUAAACUUUUUAAGGAUUCUAUGAAACCUAGCAGAGACAAUAUGUGGCAAGACAAGGAAGAUGUUAUUGAUACUAUUGAACAAAUGAAACAAGAAAAGCUGUCGCGGAUAAUGGGGACUAUCCUACAGCUGUUGCAUGAAGGUGCGGACCCGCACAAAGUGACAUGUCCGCAGCCGGCAUUGGUAAUAGCCGCCGUGUCGGGUUCCGCAGAUCUAGUGCGCCACCUAAUGAACCAUGGUGCCGAUCCUGAUGAAGAAUAUCCAGAAUUAUUUGGCUACUCAACUUUAGACCUGGCAGUCAGUGGGCCACUAACCUACGACAACUUGGAAGUGAUACGCACAUUGUUGGAGCAUGGAGCGAACCCAAACCGUCGGCUGCAAGUCCCUGAACCACUGAGGCCGUCUAGUGCAGUGGUUCCCGAGGUCACCAAAGAUGAUGGAGCAACGUUACUGCACGCGGUAAUUGCAAGGAAAGUUGAGGCUGAACCUGAAAGUGUUAAUGUUAUUGAGAUCCGUAACCAAAUUGUCGAGUUACUGCUUAAAUAUGGGUGCAGUCCUAUAGCCCAAUAUAACGGUUUAUCUGCAGUAGACGUAGCCAUGACCAAAACUAACAAAUCUGCUAUUGUUUGGAGCGGACCCAUUAAUAAAAUGCCGGAAUGGAAAAGAAGAGUAUGACAAUCUGUUCGUGUAUGUGAGAAAGACGUUACUUGAGUUAGAAUCUGCGCGCAAACCUCCCAGUCCCACAGGCGCAAAAAAAAGUAAAAGCGAGUAUAAGCCCAAAAAAGAGGAAAAAGCGCCUGCAAAGCCCGCAGCAGGAGCGAAAGGCGCAAACCCAGGCGGUGCUAAGACACAAGGGAAGGCCCCUGAUGACAGUCCUGGUGAUUAU